GAAGACUUGACCGUGAAAUGAAAACAGAGAUCACCUUCUCUGAUGAGAAUACAGGAGCUGCCAAUCUUAAAUAGGCAAGAAAAUGGUGGAUGUGAGUCUGAUGUGAUUUGGUUUUGACUUGAAGCUUCUCUUCCAAAGAAAGCUUGAGAAUCUGCAAAAGAAAUCAAGGGCAAAGGAAGCGCACACUGCCCACUCUUCUUCCCACUGAGUAGCAUGUGGAUCAGGGGAGCCCCUCCAUGGGAACUGGAACUGUUUGCAGCCAUUUGCAGUGACUUCACUUGUUCUUCCAUUUGAAUGGUAUUUAUGGCACAAUGAUAAAUUUCAUCUCUCACAGAAUGCUGUGGAGGGCGCAGCUCAGCUCCAGGUCCAGUUUUUGUUGUUAGUUGCAG
rnacentral:lncRNA from 1 species